rnacentral:rRNA from 1 species
GACGAACGCUGGCGGCGUGCUUAACACAUGCAAGUCGAACGGAAAGGCCCUGCUUUUGUGGGGUGCUCGAGUGGCGAACGGGUGAGUAACACGUGAGUAACCUGCCCUUGACUUUGGGAUAACUUCAGGAAACUGGGGCUAAUACCGGAUAGGAGCUCCUGCUGCAUGGUGGGGGUUGGAAAGUUUCGGCGGUUGGGGUAGGACUCGCGGCUUAUGAGCUUGUUGGGGGGGUAGUGGCUUACCAAGGCUUUGAAGGGUAGCCGGCCUGAGAGGGGGAACGGCCACAGUUGGACUGAGGUACGGACCAGAAUCCUACGGGAGGCAGCAGUGGGGAAUAUUGCACAAUGGGCGGAAGCCUGAUGCAGCAACGCCGCGUGCGGGAUGACGGCCUUCGGGUUGUAAACCGCUUUCGCCUGUGACGAAGCGUGAGUGACGGUAAUGGGUAAAGAAGCACUGGCUAACUACGUG